rnacentral:rRNA from 1 species
CCUACGGGAGGCAGCAGCAGGGAAUCUUGCGCAAUGGGCGAAAGCCUGACGGAGCAAUACCGCGUGAGGGAUGACGGCCUAUGGGUUGUAAACCUCUUUUUUCAGGGAGGAAUCAAUGACGUGUACCUGAAGAAUAAGCAUCGGCUAACUCCGUGCCAGCAGCCGCGGU